GGGACAGUAGCUCAGUUGGUUAGAGCGCUACGCUCACAUCGUAGAGGUCAGGGGUUCAACUCCCUUCUGUCCCACCA
rnacentral:tRNA from 1 species